AUGCUAUUAUAUAUAGAGUCCCAGUACAAUGCUAGCACCAACCACUUAGUGCUACUAAGGUUUCUGCCGCUAGAUCAACCAAUUUGAUUAUUUUUAUCCGUUAAAUCAUACUAUUCAACCAACCACCCACUCAACCCUAUGGAGCCACUAUUAUCCUAACCGUACAUCGCUUCUUCCAAAGGUCGAAAACUUAAUAGCGCCAAUGACUUGGUGCUAUUAAUAGUAUUUUAGCCUAGUUCUAUAUAUAGAGUCUAACUACAAUGCUAUGAAUAGCACUAAGCACUUAGUGCUACCAAGUUUUCUGCCCACCCACUUAAUCCUAGAGGACUACUAUAAUCCUAACCAUAUACCGCUUCAUCCAAAGGUGUGUGUGUAUAUAUAUAUAUAUAUAUAUAGAGAGAGAGAGAGAGAGAGAGAGAGAGAGAGAGUAGGGCUACUAUACUCUUAUGAGUACAGAGCCUUUCACUACUCAUAAGUUGUUUUUGAUAAUGGAGCUUCUGAAUCAACGAUCCACACCGUUAAACAUGAUUUAGAGUAUUUAAAAUUUUUAGAAAAUAAAUUUCGUAAUUUUUCGAAAUCAAAAUAAAGUUUAUCAAAUGGGUAUAAAAUAAACGGUCAAAAUCGAAUGACGUCCUAAAAAUAAAUAAUUGGACCCCCUAAUUUAAGAUCGAAAUUAUUGAUUUUUACCUAGAUAGUGAACCAAAUUUUCUAUCAAAAAUUCAACCGAUUCCGAUUCUUUUACACUAUUAACUAGCAAGUAUCAUAUACCGGCCGUUAAAAAUUAUCAGUUUUGAGAUCUUUUGAUCAUAGGGUAAAUGUUUUCAAAAAAUUAUGACAUUUGAUACUAGAAGUUUUAAAUGCUCUAAAUAAUAUUUAACUGUAUGGAUCGUCGAUUCAGAAGCUCUAUCGUCGAAAAUAAUUUAUGAGUACGAAAACGAUCAUGCUCAUAAGAGUAUAGUAGCCAGACUCUCUCUCUCUCUUUCUCUCUCUCUAUAUAUAUAUUGAGAGAGAAAAAGAAAGAGUCAAGUUUACAUGCUUUUAGAAAAACAGUGGCCUUCGUGUUAUCAAAUUAGUUUCGGGGCUAGAAUUUUUGAAUCGACGAUCGGUUCUAUUAGACUUGAUCUAUAGUAUUUAAUAAAAGAAUUUAGAAAAUAAAUUUCUUGAUUUUUUAUAUUAUUUAUCUAGUAAUUGAAGAAACUCAUAAUCAAUAACUUUAAUAGUCGUUGUGUGAGCCAUUGCAAGUUUAAUGGCGUAGAAAUAUCUAAAUCACAUAAAAUUUUGAUAAAAUAUUUUAUACUAUAUAAAACAAAAUUAAUAUUUCUGACCUAAAGUUUUACUGUCAUAUCAUCAAAUUUUUGUGAGAUUCUUAUUUUCAGCUGUUGAUUUUAAAUUAUUUCGAUCACUAGAUAAAUGAUAUCGAAAAAUCACAAAAUUUACUUUCUAGAUACUUUAAUAUACUAUGUCAGAUCUAAUAGAGUCGAUAACCGAUUCGAAAUUCUCAAUACUCAAAACGACUUAAUAGCACAUAGACUAUAUAUAUGUUUUUAGAUGUCAAUCUUGGACUAUUU
rnacentral:lncRNA from 1 species